rnacentral:rRNA from 1 species
GAUGAACGCUGGCGGCGUGCUUAACACAUGCAAGUCGAACGGAAAGGCCAGUGCUUGCACUGGUACUCGAGUGGCGAACGGGUGAGUAACACGUGGGUGACCUGCCCUGCACUUCGGGAUAAGCCUGGGAAACUGGGUCUAAUACCGGAUAGGACAAUGGUUUGGAUGCCGUUGUGGAAAGUUUUUUCGGUGUGGGAUGAGCUCGCGGCCUAUCAGCUUGUUGGUGGGGUAAUGGCCUACCAGGGCGUCGACGGGUAGCCGGCCUGAGAGGGUGUACGGCCACAUUGGGACUGAGAUACGGCCCAGACUCCUACGGGAGGCAGCAGUGGGGAAUAUUGCACAAUGGGCGCAAGCCUGAUGCAGCGACGCCGCGUGGGGGAUGACGGCCUUCGGGUUGUAAACUCCUUUCGCUAGGGACGAAGCGUAUUUGUGACGGUACCUGGAGAAGAAGCACCGGCUAACUACGUG